rnacentral:rRNA from 1 species
AUGAACGCUGGCGGCGUGCCUAAUACCUGCAAGUCGAGCGAACAGACGAGGAGCUUGCUCCUCUGACGUUAGCGGCGGACGGGUGAGUAACACGUGGAUAACCUACCUAUAAGACUGGGAUAACUUCGGGAAACCGGAGCUAAUACCGGAUAAUAUAUUGAACCGCAUGGUUCAAUAGUGAAAGACGGUUUUGCUGUCACUUAUAGAUGGAUCCGCGCCGCAUUAGCUAGUUGGUAAGGUAACGGCUUACCAAGGCGACGAUGCGUAGCCGACCUGAGAGGGUGAUCGGCCACACUGGAACUGGGACACGGUCCAGACUCCUACGGGAGGCAGCAGUAGGGAAUCUUCCGCAAUGGGCGAAAGCCUGACGGAGCAACGCCGCGUGAGUGAUGAAGGUCUUCGGAUCGUAAAACUCUGUUAUUAGGGAAGAACAAAUGUGUAAGUAACUAUGCACGUCUUGACGGUACCUAAUCAGAAAGCCACGGCUAACUACGUG